CAUUAAGAGAUAAUACUUUCUAAACACCCUCCUAAAGGUGAUUUUAAGUUGAAAGAGCUUUAAAUACCAUUUUUGAGUAGAGAAGAGAAGAUAUGGCCAAGUGAAAAAUGACAAGGACCAGACAAGCUUUGAGAAGCAGUUUUGCAUGAUCUCAACUAUAAUCUUGAACAGUUACCUUAUAAACAACUCGGUGGUCACCAGGUGAGAGAAGGAGGAUCAAUACAAGUCUAUCAGCAAAGAAAGAACUCAGGAAGUGAACCCUAGUGAUGACAGGCCUUCUAUUUUAAAUUGGAGCCUGCUGUCAACCUGAUGAAAACAAGAAGAAAAAGGGGUUAAGGUUUAGAAAAUAUGGUGCCAAGUAUGUUCUGAGGAGAGAAAAAGAACACAUACAUUUCAGGGUAAGUCUCUUGCGUCUGGACGAAAGAUUUUUC